rfam:Salmo salar isolate Sally breed double haploid chromosome ssa18, whole genome shotgun sequence.
CUGUGUGGCUCAGUUGGUAGAGCAUGGUGUUUGCAACGCCAGGGUUGUGGGUUCGAUUCCCAGUACGG